CACUUCUAAGGAAGGCAGCAGGCGCGCAAAUUACCCAAUCCUGACUCAGGGAGGUAGUGACAAGAAAUAACAAUAAACCGGCUUAUGCCGGUUUAAUUGGAAUGAGUACAAUUUAAACAUCUUAACGAGGAACAAUUGGAGGGCAAGUCUGGUGCCAGCAGCCGCGGUAAUUCCAGCUCCAAUAGCGUAUACUAAAGUUGUUGCAGUUAAAAAGCUCGUAGCUGGAUUUCUGUGGGGACGGAGCGGCCGGCCGCAACUCGCGGUUCGAGCUAGCGCUUUCCCUACAUCCUGCCGCGAACCGUGCUACCAUUAGUUUGGUGGCGCCGGGGAUCGGCUCGAUUACUCUGAGAAAAAUAGAGUGUUCAAAGCAGGCCACACGCCUUGAAUAAGUUAGCAUGGAAUAAUAACUAAGGACUUCGGUUCUAUUUUGUUGGUGUUCGGGACUGAAGUAAUGAUUGAUAGGGACAGUUGGGGCGGUCCGUAUUCCAAAGCGAGAGGUGAAAUUCUUAGACCUUCGGAAGACAAACAACUGCGAAAGCGUUCCGCAAGGAUGUUCCCUUUGAUCAAGAACGAAAGUUGGGGGAUCGAAGACGAUCAGAUACCGUCGUAGUCUCAACUAUAAACUAUACCAGCUAGGGAUCGGCCAACGUUAUUUUAUACCGACUUGGUCGGCACCUUAUGAGAAAUCAAAGCAUCUGGGUUCCGGGGGGAGUAUGGUCGCAAGGCUGAAACUUAAAGGAAUUGACGGAAGGGCACCACCAGCCGUGGAGCCUGUGGCUUAAUUUGACUCAACACGGGAAAACUUACCAGGUCCAGACAUAGUAAGGAUUGACAGAUUGAUAGCUCUUUCUUGAUUCUGUGGGUGGUGGUGCAUGGCCGUUCUUAGUUGGUGGAGUGAUUUGUCUGGUUAAUUCCGUUAACGAACGAGACCCCAGCCUGCUAAAUAGCGCGCAUGAGCUUUGCUCGUGGCGAGCUUCUUAGAGGGACUAUGAUGCGCGAUAGCACAUGGAAGUUUGGGGCAAUAACAGGUCUGUGAUGCCCUUAGAUGAUCUGGGCCGCACACGGGCUACACUGGCGCCUGCAACGAGCAUAUCAGCUGGCCCGAGAGGGUCUUGGCUAAUCUUUUGAACCGGCGCCGUGCUUGGGAUUGACCUUUGCAAUUGUUGGUCAUGCAACGAGGAAUGCCUUGUAAACGCGAGUCAUCAGCUCGCAUUGAAUACGUCCCUGCCCUUUGUACACACCGCCCGUCGCUCCUACCGAUGAAUGUUCCGAUGAAAUUUUCGGAGAGUGCCUGUGAACUUGGCUCUGCCUUGCGAACGGGAAGCUCAAAGUCACUUAAAUCUGAACAUUUCGAGG
rnacentral:rRNA from 1 species